rnacentral:misc_RNA from 1 species
GUGAAUCAUCAAAUUUUUGAACGCAAAUUGCACUCUCUGGUAUUCCGGAGAGUAUUCCUGUGUGAGGGUCAGUUUAAAUAAAAAUCGGGGUGGUUGCUGCCUUUCGUGGUGACGUACCGGAUUUUGGUCGUCUUUCCUUCGGUUAAGUGACCUAAAAUUUUUCAUGAUUUUUUCGAACGUAUUUAAAUGACUUUACGCACUUUUUCGAUGUCGAAGACUAUGUGUGGUCAUCGUCAU